rnacentral:rRNA from 1 species
GACGAACGCUGGCGGCGUGCUUAACACAUGCAAGUCGAACGGAGAGGCCCUGCUUUUGUGGGGUGCUCGAGUGGCGAACGGGUGAGUAACACGUGAGUAACCUGCCCUUGACUUUGGGAUAACUUCAGGAAACUGGGGCUAAUACCGGAUAGGAGCUCCUGCUGCAUGGUGGGGGUUGGAAAGUUUCGGCGGUUGGGGAUGGACUCGCGGCUUAUCAGCUUGUUGGUGGGGUAGUGGCUUACCAAGGCUUUGACGGGUAGCCGGCCUGAAAGGGUGACCGGCCACAUUGGGACUGAGGUACGGCCCAGACUCCUACGGGGGGCAGCAGUGGGGAAUAUUGCACAAUGGGCGGAAGCCUGAUGCAGCAACGCCGCGUGCGGGAUGACGGCCUUCGGGUUGUAAACCGCUUUCGCCUGUGACGAAGCGUGAGGGACGGUAAUGGGUAAAGAAGCACCGGCUAACUACGU